UCUGAUGAGUGAAGACAGUCAGAGGCCAGGAAGUUCCCAGGACCAGGACAACUUCUGCAGCGUUUUGUUUGUUUGUUUUAGAAUUUUAUCUAAACAAGGACGGUGUCUAGACAAAUUUGUGCUCUUUGUCCUCAAGAACUGGGAACUGCAGCUGCUUUCCUGCUUGUGCCAAGCUUUUCCAGAAAGGCACCAGAAGUGUUUCCAGUGCUCAGCCAUGCUUCUAGUCCUCAUCUCAUUCCUGGGGAUACAUUUUUUCCUGGGAGAUGUUCAAGCACAGUCAGUUACCCAGCCUGAUGCCCAUGUCACUGUCUUCGAAGGAGACUCGGUGGAGCUCAGAUGCAACUAUUCCUACAGUGGAGCUCCUUACCUCUUCUGGUACAUGCAGAACCAUGACCAAGGCCUCCAACUUCUCCUCAGGUACUUUUCAGGAGACCCUGUGGUUCAUGGAGUGAAUGGAUUUGAGGCUGAGUUUCAGAAGAGUAAAUCUUCCUUCCACCUGAAGAAAGCCUCUGUGCACCUGAGCGAUUCGGCUGUGUACUUCUGUGCUCUGGAUGCACAAUGUUUGAGACUGCAGGGGGAGCUGAACACAAACCUGUGAGAUGCUGGGGAGGACUGUAGCUGGUGGACUUUAGAUCAUCCAUGCCCCUGUAAGUAACCUAAAUAAACUUAUCAGUUCUCUAAGUUGGACUUCUCUGGAAUCAUUACUUCAGUCUGUCAUUGGUGCCCUAUCUGAGGUAUACCCCCCGAAAGGUGACAUAGCAGGGCCAAAUCAUAAAAUGAUGCCUGAGACAUGGUUGCAUCCUUAAAUGUUGUUUUGU